rnacentral:rRNA from 1 species
UGGACUUGACAUCUCGGAGAUUUUUUAGAGAUAAGAAAGUGCGUUUCGGGGAAUCCGAAGAC